GGUGCUGCAUGGCCGUCGUCAGCUCGUGCCGUGAGGUGUUCGGGUUAAGUCCCGCAACGAGCGCAACCCCGCCGUUAGUUGCCAGCGGUUCGGCCGGGCACUCUAACGGGACUGCCCGCGAAAGCGGGAGGAAGGAGGGGGACGACGUCUGGUCAGCAUGGCCCUUACGGCCUGGGCGACACACGUGCUACAAUGGUCGGUACAAAGGGUUGCCAAGCCGCGAGGUGGAGCUAAUCCCAUAAAACCGAUCGUAGUCCGGAUCGCAGUCUGCAACUCGACUGCGUGAAGUCGGAAUCGCUAGUAAUCGUGAAUCAGAAUGUCACGGUGAAUACGUUCCCGGGCCUU
rnacentral:rRNA from 1 species